AUUAUAUAUAUAUAUAUAUAUUUGACUACUUGGUGUAAUUGAUAAUUUUUCCAAAUUAAUUAAUUUCACCCUUCAUUACUACUACGGAUAACCAUAUUAUCUCAAUAGAUGACCACAGCAUCUUGUUUUGGCUACACGCGGGUGGAAGGGCUGUUGACACAAUCGUUUCAUUCACAAAUUGAAUUCGGUGAUACCAGUUGCGGAUUGCUAGCUCG